rnacentral:rRNA from 1 species
AACGAACGCUGGUGGCAUGCCUAACACAUGCAAGUCGAACGAGACCUUCGGGUCUAGUGGCGCACGGGUGCGUAACGCGUGGGAACCUGCCCUUAGGUUCGGAAUAACUCCCCGAAAGGGGUGCUAAUACCGGAUAAUGUCUUCGGACCAAAGAUUUAUCGCCUUUGGAUGGGCCCGCGUUGGAUUAGCUAGUUGGUAGGGUAAAAGCCUACCAAGGCGACGAUCCAUAGCUGGUCUGGGAGGAUGAUCAGCCACACUGGGACUGAGACACGGCCCAGACUCCUACGGGAGGCAGCAGUGGGGAAUAUUGGACAAUGGGCGAAAGCCUGAUCCAGCAAUGCCGCGUGAGUGAUGAAGGCCUUAGGGUUGUAAAGCUCUUUUACCCGGGAUGAUAAUGACAGUACCGGGAGAAUAAGCUCCGGCUAACUCCGUG